GCCGCCGGGCUGGCGCCUGCCCCUGCCUUGUCAACCGGGAGUAGUGGGUUCGAUCCCCACCGGCGGCU
rnacentral:tRNA from 1 species